UCUUCGAUAGCUCAGCUCAGUUGGUAGAGCGGAGGACUGUAGAUCCUUAGGUCGCUGGUUCAACUCCGGCUCGAAGGA